rnacentral:rRNA from 1 species
UACGGAGGGUGCGAGCGUUGUCCGGAAUCACUGGGCGUAAAGGGCGCGUAGGCGGUCCGGGAAGCGUGUGGUGAAAGCCCGGGGCUCAACCCCGGGUCUGCCGUGCGAACUGCCGGACUCGAGCACUGUAGAGGCAGGUGGAAUUCCGAGUGUAGCGGUGGAAUGCGUAGAGAUUCGGAGGAACACCGGUGGCGAAGGCGGCCUGCUGGGCAGUGUCUGACGCUGAGGCGCGACAGCGUGGGGAGCAAACAGG